rnacentral:lncRNA from 12 species
UGGAUACCGGGUUCCCAGGAUCACCCCUGGGCUGAUCACCUCAGCGCUAAACCCCUGAGCCAAUCAGGGAUCCCCCUUUUUCACUGUUUCUAAUAAAAGUUGGUUGUUGUUGUUGUUGUUAUUAUUAUAACUCCGAUUGUAAUGUGUGAUUUUUGUUUUUAGCCAAUUUUAAGACAUUUUGAUUAUAUUUGAUUUUCAGCAGCUUUUAGUAUAUUUUUGCUUUUUCUUUUUUUUCUAAUCUUGAAUCUAUGGGUAAUAUCAUUCUUUAAUUUGGGAUAAUCCUUAACAUUAUGGUUUUUUUGUUUUGUUUUGUUUUGUUUUUUUAAGAUUUCAUUUACACACGAGAGGCACAGCAAGGCAGAGGCUUCAGGCUGAGGGAGCCUGAUGGGGACCCCAUCCCAGGAUCACCACCUGCGCCAAAGGCGGACACUCAACCGACUGAGCCACCCAGGUACCCGACAUUAUGGCUUUAAAACUUUUUUACCCCCAUUCUUUUCCUUCUCUAUAGAGCCAACGACAGGUAUAUUAGAAAUCUUACAUCUUUUCAUACUUACUCGUCUCCAUUUUGCUUUAAGAAAAAAAAAAAAAAAAGAAAAGAAAAUCUGUGGUGUUUGCAGCCGCAGCGGCUCCCAGCGCCAGGCCCCGACCGCCUGUGGCUCCGAGCGCCCGCGGAAGAAGGGGUCAGGCAGGAGGGCUCGGGCCACGGCUGCGCAAGGCCCGGCCGCAGAGCCCUGAGGUCAGACCCUGAAGAGGUCGGUCACCCGCCGGCGCCGACGCAGGACGCCCUGUGGUGAGACCUGAGGAGGCCGCCCGCCGGCCCGAGCGCGCCCCGAGGUCAGACCCCGAGGAGGCCGCCCGCCGGCCCGAGCGCGCCCCGAGGUCAGACCCCGAGGAGGCCGCCCGCCGGCCCGAGCGCGCCCCGAGGUCAGACCCCGAGGAGGCCGCCCCCCGGCCCGAGCGCGCCGGCUCCUGCAGGGGUGAAGACACCUCAGCCCUACAGGCCUGGGACUGCGGCGCCCCGCGGUCUGACGCGUCAGCCAAAGUCCACGAACUUCUGGUCCGCAGAUUUCCUUUCCAGCGUCCGGUGCGAGGAACUGCUCAGGACUUCAAAACCGCUCGAAGGUUUGAAGCCUCCAGGCUGCAACUGUUGGGGCUUCGCAGGACGCAGGAACAGAUGUCUCUGAGAGGGAGAAAUCCUAUGAUUGAUGGCUGCACCUGUACUUCCCACUCCCUGAAUUUCCUAACACAUUUACAAAAGGGUCCUCAUUCUUUGAAAACACACAAGUAUGAAGCAGAGACCAGAAUAGCCAAAUGCUUCACUGCCAUGCUCCUGCUUAUGAAUCAGACCGCCUGCAAGUGCCCCAGUUGUGAACCUGAAUGAGAAUUGAUAAAUUGUGCUGGGACAUCUAUAGUGACACUGAAUAAAGAACCAGGAUGAUUGCA